GCUUAACACAUGCAAGUCGAACGGAAAGGCCCUGCUUGCAGGGUACUCGAGUGGCGAACGGGUGAGUAACACGUGGGUGAUCUGCCCUGCACUUCGGGAUAAGCUUGGGAAACUGGGUCUAAUACCGGAUAGGAACCAUCUUUAGUGUGGUGGUUGGAAAGUUUUUUCGGUGUAGGAUGAGCUCGCGGCCUAUCAGCUUGUUGGUGGGGUAAUGGCCUACCAAGGCGGCGACGGGCAGCCGGCCUGAGAGGGUGUACGGCCACAUUGGGACUGAGAUACGGCCCAGACUCCUACGGGAGGCAGCAGUGGGGAAUAUUGCACAAUGGGCGCAAGCCUGAUGCAGCGACGCCGCGUGGGGGAUGAAGGCCUUCGGGUUGUAAACUCCUUUCGCUAGGGACGAAGCUUUUUGUGACGGUACCUAGAUAAGAAGCACCGGCUAACUACGUGCCAGCAGCCGCGGUAAUACGUAGGGUGCGAGCGUUGUCCGGAAUUACUGGGCGUAAAGGGCUCGUAGGUGGUUUGUCGCGUCGUCUGUGAAAUUCUGGGGCUUAACUCCGGGCGUGCAGGCGGUACGGGCAUAACUUGAGUGCUGUAGGGGUAACUGGAAUUCCUGGUGUAGCGGUGAAAUGCGCAGAUAUCAGGAGGACACCGAUGGCGAAGGCAGGUUACUGGGCAGUUACUGACGCUGAGGAGCGAAAGCAUGGGUAGC
rnacentral:rRNA from 1 species